AGUGAUACACAUCAGAAUACAUGAAGUUAAUGAAUCGAGUAAUCAAAUACAAGGAAGGUGCUUACAAAUACAAGCAAAUGAAAUAGAUGCUGUGUAUGAAUAAAUAAAAAUGUAGUAAUUGGCACGUUAUGGAAACAUAGGGAUGACACAUAUCAAAGAACACAAGGUUAAUGUACGAGAUAAUUAGAAACAAAAAUGUGCUUACAAUAUGCAAAGUACAAGUGAAAUAUAUACUGUGUGACAAAAAACUUAAAAUUUCUAAAUAUAAGGAAGGAAAGAAUAAAGACAAUGGGAUAUAGAGAAUAAAAGCGAUACAUUAGGCAAAUACAGAAGCACUGAAAGUGGUAAAAUAAAUUUGUAUAUAAUAUAUGUUCAUAGUAAUGAGUCUGUAGCUAGUAGUGUCGAUAGUAAAUAUUUCUUCAUAUCUCUCUUGAAUGUUAAUGUUGUGCGGCAGGCUUUAAUAUGGGGUGGUUUAAUUUAGUGUUUAUUUGAGGAAGGAAAGAAUUGUUAGAGGAAUAUCUUGUAUUGUUAGUGUUGGUAUGAGCAGAUAUAUUAAAUGCUGAACCCUUGAUGAUCACCAGUAGGUACGCUACUGACGGUGCACUUGCACAAAACUCAAAAUAAUUUCAGAGCCCUGAAAACGAAGCUUUUUUUUCCCUACUCGUCAGGUGUUUCACUAUCUGCACUGAUGGUAUUCUUCUCGAGUAUGGCUGGAGUACAUAUUUGUGCUGUGCGAAUGUUCAAAAUGUGAAAUGUAAAUCAAAUAGCUGUUGACCAUUUGACUUGUAUUCAAUUGGAGAACACGCAAUUAGAAGUUAUCAAAUCUUCCUUUCUGUCAAUAAUUACACAUACUGGAAUCUUUAGGGAGAAAGUCAGGUGCAUGUGGUGACCAUUCUCAAAGGGAACUGCAGUUCCUGAGCGGACAUAUACAGCAGCUGUCGUCUUCUCGGAAGCAGGCACUCAUGCUUGGAGACCUGCAGAGCACAAACUGCAGCAUGUAUGCCGAAAUAAAUAGCUAUUGCCUAUUUCAAAUAGAACCAAUGUAAGGUGCGGCGAGCCCGGGAGACAGCAAGAGCCGCAGGAGUCCUGGACUAAGGGCGCGUCCCACACAAGCAGAAAGACACCUGCUUUUCCUUUCUUUUCUGUAAUAAAUGUUUUUUCUUCUCCUCC